rnacentral:rRNA from 1 species
GAUAAACGCUGGCGGCGUGCCUAACACAUGCAAGUCGAUCGCCCUUACGCAAGUAAGGGAGUGGCGGACGGGUGAGGAACACGUGGGUGAUCUGCCUUGAGGUGAGGAAUACCGGCGAGAAAUCGCCGACAAUACCGCAUACGUUCGCAAGAACAAAGUCGCAAGACGCCUUGAGAUGAGCCUGCGUCCGAUUAGCUAGUUGGUGGGGUAAAAGCCUACCAAGGCAGCGAUCGGUAGCUGGUCUGAGAGGACGAUCAGCCACACUGGGAUUGAGAACGGCCCAGACUCCUACGGGGGGCAGCAGUGAGGAAUUUUCGUCAAUGGCCGAAAGGCUGAACGAGCAACGCCGCGUGCAGGAAGAAGGUCUUCGGAUCGUAAACUGCUUUUCUGGGGGAAGAGCAUGGACGGUACCCCAGGAAGAAGCCCCGG